rnacentral:rRNA from 1 species
AUUGAACGCUGGCGGCAGGCCUAACACAUGCAAGUCGAGCGGAUGAAGGGAGCUUGCUCCUGGAUUCAGCGGCGGACGGGUGAGUAAUGCCUAGGAAUCUGCCUGGUAGUGGGGGAUAACGUCCGGAAACGGGCGCUAAUACCGCAUACGUCCUGAGGGAGAAAGUGGGGGAUCUUCGGACCUCACGCUAUCAGAUGAGCCUAGGUCGGAUUAGCUAGUUGGUGGGGUAAAGGCCUACCAAGGCGACGAUCCGUAACUGGUCUGAGAGGAUGAUCAGUCACCCUGGAACUGAGACACGGUCCAGACUCCUAAGGGAGGCAGCAGUGGGGAAUAUUGGACAAUGGGCGAAAGCCUGAUCCAGCCAUGCCGCGUGUGUGAAGAAGGUCUUCGGAUUGUAAAGCACUUUAAGUUGGGAGGAAGGGCAGUAAGUUAAUACCUUGCUGUUUUGACGUUACCAACAGAAUAAGCACCGGCUAACUUCGUG